GUCGUCGUAGAGAAAUGGUAACUCGUCAGCCUCCUAUACAGGCAAGCUGAAGAUUGUGGGUUCGAGUCCCGCCGGCGAUG